AUUGAACGCUGGCGGCAGGCCUAACACAUGCAAGUCGAGCGGCAGCGGGAAAGUAGCUUGCUACUUUUGCCGGCGAGCGGCGGACGGGUGAGUAAUGCCUGGGAAAUUGCCCAGUCGAGGGGGAUAACAGUUGGAAACGACUGCUAAUACCGCAUACGCCCUACGGGGGAAAGCAGGGGACCUUCGGGCCUUGCGCGAUUGGAUAUGCCCAGGUGGGAUUAGCUAGUUGGUGAGGUAAUGGCUCACCAAGGCGACGAUCCCUAGCUGUUCUGAGAGGAUGAUCAGCCACACUGGAACUGAGACACGGUCCAGACUCCUACGGGAGGCAGCAGUGGGGAAUAUUGGACAAUGGGCGCAAGCCUGAUCCAGCCAUGCCGCGUGUGUGAAGAAGGCCUUCGGGUUGUAAAGCACUUUCAGCGAGGAGGAAGGGGUGUGUGUUAAUAGUACACACCUUUGACGUUACUCGCAGAAGAAGCACCGGCUAACUCUGUGCCAGCCGCCGCAGUAAUAC
rnacentral:rRNA from 1 species